GAUCUAGCUUGCUAGAUUGAUGGCGAGUGGCGAACGGGUGAGUAAUACAUCGGAACGUGCCCUGUAGUGGGGGAUAACUAGUCGAAAGAUUAGCUAAUACCGCAUACGACCUGAGGGUGAAAGUGGGGGACCGCAAGGCCUCAUGCUAUAGGAGCGGCCGAUGUCUGAUUAGCUAGUUGGUGGGGUAAAGGCCCACCAAGGCGACGAUCAGUAGCUGGUCUGAGAGGACGAUCAGCCACGCUGGGACUGAGACACGGCCCAGACUCCUACGGGAGGCAGCAGUGGGGAAUUUUGGACAAUGGGGGCAACCCUGAUCCAGCAAUGCCGCGUGUGUGAAGAAGGCCUUCGGGUUGUAAAGCACUUUUGUCCGGAAAGAAAUCGCACUUACUAAUAUUAGGUGUGGAUGACGGUACCGGAAGAAUAAGGACCGGCUAACUACGUGCCAGCAGCCGCGGUAAUACGUAGGGUCCAAGCGUUAAUCGGAAUUACUGGGCGUAAAGCGUGCGCAGGCGGUUGUGCAAGACCGAUGUGAAAUCCCCGGGCUUAACCUGGGAAUUGCAUUGGUGACUGCACGGCUAGAGUGUGUCAGAGGGGGGUAGAAUUCCACGUGUAGCAGUGAAACGCGUAGAGAUGUGGAGGAAUACCGAUGGCGAAGGCAGCCCCCUGGGAUAACACUGACGCUCAUGCACGAAAGCGUGGGGAGCAAACAGGAUUAGAUACCCUGGUAGUCCACGCCCUAAACGAUGUCAACUAGUUGUUGGGGAUUCAUUUCCUUAGUAACGUAGCUAACGCGUGAAGUUGACCGCCUGGGGAGUACGGUCGCAAGAUUAAAACUCAAAGGAAUUGACGGGGACCCGCACAAGCGGUGGAUGAUGUGGAUUAAUUCGAUGCAACGCGAAAAACCUUACCUACCCUUGACAUGCCACUAACGAAGCAGAGAUGCAUUAGGUGCUCGAAAGAGAAAGUGGACACAGGUGCUGCAUGGCUGUCGUCAGCUCGUGUCGUGAGAUGUUGGGUUAAGUCCCGCAACGAGCGCAACCCUUGUCUCUAGUUGCUACGAAAGGG
rnacentral:rRNA from 1 species